rnacentral:piRNA from 1 species
UACCUUGUAAACUCCUGGUAGGGAAAGAGC